rfam:Kitasatospora setae KM-6054 DNA, complete genome.
CGUGCUCGGCCUGCUGCGGGGAGAUCAGGUGGACGUGGGUGUCGAUCGCGCCGGCGGUGGCGAUCAGGUGCUCGCCGGAGAUCGCCUCGGUGCCGGGGCCGAUCACCAGGCGCGGGUCGACGUCGUUCUGGGUCUGCGGGUUGCCGGACUUGCCGAUGCCCGCGAUGAGGCCGUCCUUGAUCCCGAUGUCGCACUUGACGACGCCGAUCACCGGAUCGAUCACCACCACGUUGGUGAUCACGGUGUCCAGCGCGCCCUGCGCGGCGGUGGCCUGCGGGUCGGCGCCCAUGCCGUCGCGCAUG